GCUUACGGCCAUACUACCCUGAACACGCCCGAUCUCGUCCGAAUUCGGAAGAUAAGCAGGUUCGGGCCUGGUUAGUACUUUGAUGGGAGACCGCCUGGGAAUACAAGGUGCUGUAAACU